GACAGAGGUGGCGAGCGUUGUUCGGUGUCACUGGGCUUAAAGCGUGUGUAGGCGGCCUGAAUAGUCCUUUGUGAAAUACCUCGGCUUAACCGAGGAACUGCUUGGGAUACUUUCAGGCUUGAGGCAGGUAUGGGUGCGGGGAACGGUUGGUGGAGCGGUGGAAUGCGUAGAUAUCAACCGGAACGCCGGCGGUGAAGACGCUGCACUGGGCCUGUUCUGACGCUGAGACACGAAAGCGUGGGUAUAAAACGGG
rnacentral:rRNA from 1 species